rnacentral:lncRNA from 1 species
GAAACAAUAUCUAUCAGCUCUUAAUAUGCAUAUGCCUGUUAUUUCAGAUUUUCAGCCUGGCUGACAUAUGCCAACCGGCCGGAGCUGCUUCAGCUUGCAAGAGAAAAAGUAAACAAGAGCUACAGGCUGUGCUCUAAGCAUUUCACAAGGGACAGCUUCACCAGUGACACCUGCACAAGGCUGACACGUGAAGCUGUCCCUUCAGUGAAAGUGAAGGAGCCUCACCUGAAGGCUCUGGUGCACCCAGAUUUUUACGAUGAACAGGCGGCACAUGGCUCUGGUUCCACCACAGCACCAAAGCCCACCAUGAGCACUGCAACAACGUUGCUUGGGCACGGGCAUGACUACUGCUUCAUGCCACCUCAAAGUGGAGAGCCAGGGAACAUUCUUUGUGAAGAACCUGCGCUCCAGGAUGAAGACAACCAGUAUGCUGCAAGCAAGUUGCCGUCCCCUGCUGCUGAGA